rnacentral:rRNA from 1 species
CUCCUGGAAACGGGUGGUAAUGCCGGAUGCUCCGACUCCUCGCAUGGGGUGUCGGGAAAGAUUUCAUCGGUAUGGGAUGGGGUCGCGUCCUAUCAGGUAGUCGGCGGGGUAACGGCCCACCGAGCCUACGACGGGUAGCCGGCCUGAGAGGGCGACCGGCCACAUUGGGACUGAGAUACGGCCCAGACUCCUACGGGAGGCAGCAGUGGGGAAUAUUGCACAAUGGGCGCAAGCCUGAUGCAGCGACGCCGCGUGCGGGAUGACGGCCUUCGGGUUGUAAACCGCUUUUGAUCGGGAGCAAGCCUUCGGGUGAGUGUACCUUUCGAAUAAGCACCGGCUAACUACGUGCCAGCAGCCGCGGUAAUACGUAGGGUGCAAGCGUUAUCCGGAAUUAUUGGGCGUAAAGGGCUCGUAGGCGGUUCGUCGCGUCCGGUGUGAAAGUCCAUCGCUUAACGGUGGAUCUGCGCCGGGUACGGGCGGGCUGGAGUGCGGUAGGGGAG